CCGGUACCGGUUCACGGUUGGCGUCGCGCUCUGUUCGUGCCGUCGAUCGACCCGGCGACC
rnacentral:ncRNA from 1 species